GCUGGACACAGUGGCACAUGCCUGUAAUCCCAGCAACUUGGGAGGCUGAGGCAGGAGGAUCACAAGUUUGAGGCCAGCCUCUUCAGUAAUUUAAUGGGGCCCUAAGGAACUUAGUGAGACCCAGUCUCAA
rnacentral:sRNA from 1 species